ACCGGAGGUCAAGUAGCCGCAAAGCGGCAUUACUAACGCUGGGCUUUCUCCCGAGGUCUCCUCCCUGGCGGUGCAAGUCUACCCUCAGCUAGUGUGGGGUGUGGGCCAGCCUCGGCUUCCGGGAGAUCACCGCAGGGCUCCAGCAGGGACGGGAGCGCUCGGCCCGGUGGAGCGAGGACCCAGCACUCCAGGACCGCCUGCUUUUCCGGUGCCUGCAGAUGAGCCCAGAACCUUAAAGAGCAGCUGGAGCCUGCUUCCCUGCUUAGCUUUGGCCUUGGAUUUCGGUGGCAGCUAUAAGGUCCUCGGGGAGCAAACCUAUUGGCCUCUAGGCAGGCGACUCCUUUAACUGGGCCAUGGACCAAACUAGAGGCAGCGUGGAUGGGGUUGUGGUGUGGGAGAUGAAGGGAAGAGAUUUGUGUCAAACCAGUCCGUUGAGUAGUUUGGGAGUUAGUGAAUAAAUGGUUGUGUUUCAUAGCCUAAAGACAGUGUAUGAGUUAUACAAGUUGAUGGAAGGUAAAAAUGUCUGCAUUUGGGGCCUGAAUGAAGCAAUGUGACCUUAAGUUUUUGGUUUUGGACUUGGAAAAGGUAAUUUGUAGUGAAUAGUUUUCCCAGUGAAAUUUUAAAUUCUUAAUAAUUUUGUUAGUCUAGAAACACAGUUCACCUCAGAGGGUGUGCUGGCUAUUCUCGGACAACUUGACACACAAACUAGAGUUAUCGUAACGGAGAGAACCUCGGUGGAAAAAAUGCUUCCAUAAUAGAAGGCGUUUUCUUAAUUAGUGAUUGAUGGAGGAGGGCUCAGCCUAGUGUGGGUGGUGCCAUCCCUGCACUGGUGGUCCUACGUUCUAUAAGAAAGCAGGCUGAGCAAGCCAGUAAGUAAGCAGCACUCCUCCAUGGCCUCUGCAUCAGUUCCUGCCUCUAGGUUCCUGACCUGUUUGACUUCCGGUGCUGACUUCUUUCAGUGAUGAACAGCAAUAUGGAAGCAUAAGCCAAAUAAACCCUUUUCUCCCCAACUUGCUUUUUGGUCAUGACGUUUCAUCCCAGCAAUAGAAACAUUAACUAAGACAAAGGGAAUAAAAUAUCAUUUAUUCUGGAGCCAAAUAUGGCCACACCGGUUCACGUUAUCCUAAAUUCCAUUCCAUGUUCCAAUUUUAAGAAGUUGUAUAGAAACAGAACAACAAAUCUACAUACUUUUCAAAUGCAUUGGUGGGUGCAUCAGAUUGGUAGGAUUUUUAGCAACACUGGAGGUGAUGGUGACUUUGUUAUACUCUUCAGAUGCCUUUUGAUGGAUUUCUUAACCCUUUUGAUUGAUGGGAACUAGGAGUCUGAACUUUGAACAUCCCAAAGAUUCUACCUAAUGGUACCAAAGAGGUUAGGUCACAUGCACAGGAGAAUAACAUGUCUCAAUAUAAUUUGGCUCCAGAUUUGCAACAUUCAAAACUCCACUGCUGUAGUUCUGAUCAGUCAGUCUUGUGGUCACUGCUUCUUUCUGGGAAUUUUACUACACGGUAUGGAUCUAUUUUACAUGCUGUACUCCGUUCAUAAUGAUUUGACUAUUGUGGAUUUAUUAUUUUUUUUUGUAAUAGAAAUUGAUGUAAGUUCUGAAGCAUUAAUCUAAUUAAUCUUUAUCAAUAAAAAAAAUCACAAGUCAAAUAUUGGGAUAAGAACCUGAAAGAUCACAGAACUGGGAGCAGCCACCAGUUGCUUCCUACCUCUCCUGUUUUUCCAUCCAAAAGGGCUGAGAUAGUCUCAACCCUGCCUUACCAUUUCCUGUCUCCUCUCUGUCUACAGUCUUCCAGUCUUCCAAACCCCUAUGGUCAGCUAGUGGCUAGCUCCACCCUCUGACUCCAAGGAAGCUUUAUUUGUCAGAACACAAUCAAAAUAUCACACAACACUCCACCCUUUUGCCUAAAUAAAAGCAAAUGUUUUAGCUAACAUAGUAAAACUAGAUAUAAUAAGUGCAAUAACUAUAUACAAAUAUAUAUAGGCAAUAAAUACAUUAACAAUGCCUAGUCCAUUUGCAUUUGGCAAAUUCAGAGUAAAUAGUCCAUUACCUAUCCUAUCUUGGUGAGUCCAAAAAGUUGUACCUAAUUCACUUUUUAUCCUAACUUGGAUUACCAACCAAAACCUAUCCUUUUAUGUCUCUCAACCCUAUACAGUUUACACCUGUUUCGUGAAUUUCUUUUAAGAAUUUGGUAACAAAGAAAACUAUAACUGCCUAGUCUUCAGCUCCAUCAGAGACCUGAGAAGGAUAUAAUAUUACCUAAGUAAACAGGAACUGCAGAACAAAUAACUUCCAAAACUAAGAAAUAGCAGAAACAGUUGGCUGCCUGGACAGUCACCCAAGGUUCCUCUGUAACGUUGGGACAUCCAUCUUUGGCCUACAGGCCUACAAUAUCUGACAGACUUUUCUGUGAAGCAGAAUUUUUGAAGGACUGUCCUGCCUUGUCUUGGCAAAGUUCUGCAGUCAAUUACUUUUGUGUCCUGAUUGUCCAAUUUGGACAGCAUACUGUCAGCAGUUGAGGCAAGGCCACUUUCUUGCCCAGUGGCUGACUUUUGCCACAAAGAAAGUAAACUGAAUAUGGAGUUUUUUUUAAUGCCCAUCAUCUUCUUUGAAGUAUAUUGGUGCUGCCAGGAGCAGAUAUGUCUCAAUGUCAUAAGAAAAAAAAGGAUUUUAUGUUAUUAAAACAUCUUUUUUUAAAAAAGAUUUAUUUAUUUUAUGUAUAUGAGUGCUCUAUUUUCAUGUACACCUGCAUGACAGAAGAAGGCAUCAGAUCCUACUAUUGACAGUUGUGAGCCACCAUGUGGUUGCUGGGAAUUGAACUCAACCUCCGGAAGAGCAGCCAGUGCUCUAACUGCUGAGCCAUCUCUCCAGCCCCCAUGAAAACAUCUUAAAUGCCUUAUUCUGUAGAUCUCUGAAGUGUUUGAAGACCACUUGUCGAUCUAAAAUAUAUCUCUGUUUGACCUUAAAAACAUACCUAACAUGACUACAAGGGUGAUUGUAAUAGGUGACUACCUACUAACCUGCAUUUUUUAUUAUCCUAAAUCAUUUGUAAUAAUAGCUUUCAAGGACUAGAAAUAUAUUACAUUGUUCAAUGAACUGUAUAGGUACAAUACCUUGAACAAGAGUAGAAAUGUGUGUAUGGUAUGUUCUUACAAAAAUAAUCUCAAAUUUGUAUCCAUAUACAAAAAUCCAUACCAAUAUAAAAUAUUUAAGACUAGUACUUGCUUUUUGGUUUAAAAGUAGAUUUAAUAAUCUACCCUUUUAUCCUUUCAUCCCUAUUUCUUUUCAAAACAAGAUCCCUGAAGCUAAUCUCCUUUGUUCAAGUUUUUUCCUAUUACCAGUGACAACUUGUAACCAACCGCCCCCAACAAUGACAAGUAUCCAUAGCCCACCAAAAAACCAGAAACCAUCCACCCCACCUCUUGAGAAUGUGGGUGUCAUGUUCUUAAAAUUACUUCCUGCUGUCUGGGUGUGAUGGCAUCUUUAGGAGACCCUGAAAAAAACUUGGGAUAAUUGCAAAUUCCUGGGAGAGCCAGCUGUAUCAUUUGUUGUCUAAUUUCUAUGUAAUGGGAAAAUGCAGAGUUUGUCUCAAAUCCUAGCUAGAGUAGUCUGUGGGCCUGGGCCAUCUCAGCUAGCCACCUUGAAAUUGUCCUGAGCAGUUUGUAGUCCAAAGCUGACUUUAGGGUGGUGUUUGUCAGCUUAGUACCACAGUUCCAGUGGAAUCAUUGUUGUAGGGCCCCAUCCUUCUUUUGGAGACUUCAAAGAUUGCUGUCAGGCAUGGUCAUGGUUCACUGCAGAAAAUGUAAACAUUUUAAAUGUCAUAUGCAUCAGAUCUUGAAGAGGUUAGAGGACCAUAAUUUGUUAUGUACAUUCAGAGUACAAAACUUAAUUCCUAGUUACCUGGUAGAGACUCAAACCUGAAAUCAUGUAUAGGAAACUAGAUGAAGCCUUUUUCUAGAAUUAGUUGGUACUCUAUAUGACCAUUAAUAUCAUGACAAAAAAUUAUAAUUAUAUAUAUAUAUAUAUAUCUUAUAAAUUUGGAGAUAAUAUUUAGAGCUUAAGAAAACUUUUAAAGAGUCAAAAUGGCAAUAGAACAGUCACUUAAGAGCCAGGCAGCGGUGGCACACACCUUUAAUCCCAGCAUUUGGGAGGCAGAACCAGGUGGAUCUCUGUGAGUUUGAGGCCAGCCUGGGCUUCAGAGUGAAUUCCAGGAAAGGCACCAAAGCUACACAGAGAAACCCUGUCUUGAAAAAAAAAAAUAGUUACUUAAUUUUGGAUCUUCUGACAUGAGACAGAGAUUUUGGAUUUUGCAAUAACAAGCGUGCUUGGGUUUAGAGAAGGAGAGAGCCAUACUCCUACUCCAAAGCCAGCUUUAAAUUUUGAUUGAACUUGGACUAUAAAAAGAUUAUUUGCAUUAUAUGUCUGUAGCAAACAGCAGAAACAUUUGGGAAGAUUUAUGAAAUUUUAUCCUGUUGGAAAUGUGAUAUGUCAGUAGGCCAAUUUACUCUUUUUCUUGGCACAUUUUCUCUGGAUAAUUUACCCUUCUACUUCAGAUGUCUAAUUUGUCCAGUGGUCUUCAGAUUCCUUAGCUGGAUGCCUUCGUUCUCCUGGAAAGACAAAAAAAAAAAACAACCCUGUCCCAAGCCUAACUUUGGGGAGUUUCCUGUCGCUGGAGAGCUUCCCUCAGGGUCCCGCUGAGCCCCGGCAGUCCGACAGCCCACUUAGACCCAACCAAGUAAACACAGAGACUUAUAUUGCUUACAAUGUAUGGCCGUGGCAGGCUUUCUGCUUUUUGCUAACUGUACUUAUAUCUUAAAUUAAUCCAUUUCUAUAAAUCUAUACCUUGCCACGUGGCUCGUGGCUUACCGGCAUCUUCACAUGCUGCUUGUCAUCGCCAAGCUGGCAGUGUCUCCCUCAGCCUUCCGCUUCCCAGAAUUCUCCUCUCUCCUUGUCCCACCUAUACUUCCUGCCUGGCCACUGACCAAUCAGUGCUUUAUUUAUACAGAACGAUAUCCACAGCAGUUUCCCUUUUGGCAAGUUAUAUCUGAUCAAAUGAAAAGCAUUUUUUAGUCUUAUUAAGUUAGUUUAGAUUGAAUUGUUGCACUGUUUGAUGAACUAUCACCUCUUCUAAUCAAGAGAUCUCUCUUCUUCACAUCCAAUCUUUAUUAAUUUUGAUGGUAUCCAUAGUUUUUCUUUUCCUGUGGAAACAAAAAUAAAAACUCUUCCCCAAUGUAACACAUAUCCUGGUUUCCAUUCUGAGGUCAACACAUCUUUAAAGUAUAGAGACUGAUUUAAUUCUGUAGUUUUUUUCUAUUAUCCAAUGUCUAUCCACAGCUAUCAUUCCUUUCUCAUUAGCAUUUAGAAAACUUAAAGUUAAUAAAGCAUUGUGCAAUCUAUCUCUGGGGGGUCUUUACUCCAUUUUUUGGUUUAUUAAGCAUAUAUUUUAGAGUUCGAUUAGAUCUUUCUAUAACUGCUUGCCCUGUAGGAUUGUGUGGUAUAGCUGUAAUAUGCUUUAUGUUGUAAUAAGCAAAAAACUGUUCCAUUUUUUACUAGAGACAUAUGCUGGAACAUUGUCAGUCCUAAUUUCUACAACUAUCCCUAUGAUGGCCAUAACUUCUAACAAAUGUGUGAUUACAGAAUCAGACUUUUUAGAACUCAAAGCAGUUGCCCAUUGAAAUUCUGAAUAUGUAUCUAUGGUAUUGGGUACAUAUUUUAAUUUUCCAAAUGAAAAUAUAUUGCACAAUGAAAUAUAUCCAUUUUCCAAAUUUUAUUUCUUUGAGUACCCUUUGGGUUACUUCCUGCAGGUAGUGGAGUUUGGUUAUACAGAGAACAAGUAGGACAUUUCCUUAUAAUUUCCUUGGCUCAUUGCCAAGUGAUAGAAAAAUCUAUUUUCAAAUCCUUGCUAUUGACAUGGUGUUUCUUAUGAAAUUCUGAGGCUUCUGGCCUACCAAUAAUUGAUCAGCUUCAUCAUUACCAUGUGCUAGAGGGCCUGGUAGACCCAAUGGGAUCUAAUAUGUGUUAUAUAUAAGGGAUAAUUUCUAUUUCUGAUUAUUUCUUGUAACUGAAUAAAUAAAAAAGUCAAGUAUGAAUCAUCUAGAAUAAAUUCAGCAGUUUUGAUAUGUAAAACAACUCUUUGUGCAUAUUGAGAGUCAGUAACUAUAUUAAGAGGUUCUGGAAAAUCUAAUAACACCAUAAAAAUAGCAUGUAAUUCUGACUUUUGAACAGAAUCAUAAGGGCUUUGAGCCACUUUACUUAAAUUUCCUAACUUAUACCCUGCCUUUCCUGUUUUAUGUGCAUUAGUAUAGAAUGUAGGGGCUUCAGAAAUUGGUGUUCCCCAUAUAAUGUGAGAAAGGAUCCAGUUAGUUCUCUUUAUAAACUGAAGUCUCUUACUUUUGGGAUAUUUGUUAAUCUCUCCCAAAAAAUUACUGCAAGCUCUUUGCCAAUGUUCAUUUUCUGCCCAUAAAGAGGAAAUUUCAGCAUUACUAAAAGGUACUACAGUUUCUGCUGGGUCUGUUCCUGCUAAUUGAUGAAUCCUCAAUUUUCCUUUUAGAAUCAACUCAGAAACCUUUUCUACAUAGGUCUUUAAUUUCUUACUCUUUUUGUGUGGUAAAAACACACCUUCUCUCUGCAUUAAAAUUCCAGUAGGGGAAUGUGUAGAAAGUAAAAUAACCAGAAUACAAUCAAGCUCUAGAUCCAAAUGAUGCACAUGUGCAUCCUGUAAUUUCUUUUCCACCAAAGCCAAUUCUCUCUCAUCCUCAACUUAUCAUUUUCUUGGACUAUUUAAGUCCUUAUCACCUUGUAAGAUUUAAAAUAAAUUACUUAUUUCUUGAGUCUUCAAACCAAUUGUGAGCCAUAGCCAGUUAAUAUCUCUCAGCAAAUUUUGAAAAUCACUAAGAGUUUGUAAUUGAUCUCUCUUGAUUUGUAUCUUCUGUGGUUGAAUUUUUUGUAAACCUAUCUUAUAACCUAGGUAAUUAAUAGAAUCUCAUCAUUGUAUUUUUUCAGGAGCAAUUUGUAAUCCCCAAGAAGGUGAAAUUUUCUUUACUUCUUCAAACAUUUUUUCUAAGGUAUCUACAUUUGAAUCAGCUAGUAAGAUAUUACCCAUAUAAUGGUAAAUAAUAGAUUGAAGAAACUGUUUACAAAUCAUUUCCAACAGCUGUUGUACAAAAUAUUCACACAGGAUGAGGCUGUUGAACAUUCCUUGUGGGAGAACUUUCUACUGAUAUCUUUUAAUGGGCUGAGAAUUAUUGUAAGUAGUCACUGUGAAGACAAAUUUUUCUCUAUCCUAUUCUUAUAAAGGUAGAGUGAAGAAACAGUUUUUUUAAAUCAACCACUAUAAUAAACCAUCCUUUAGGUAAUAGAGAAGGCAAGGGAAUCCCUGGCUGUAAAGAAUCCAUUGGUUGAAUCAUCUUAUUAAUAGCUCUUAGAUCUGUUACCAUUGUCCAUUCUCCAGAUUUCUUUUUAAUAACAAAUACAGGAGAAUCCCAAGGACUGAUCAAUUCUUCCAUAUGUUGAGCAUUUAGCUACUCCUGUACCAACUGUUCUAAGACCUGUAAUUUUUCUGAUAUCAAAGGUCAUUGUUCCACCCAGACAGGUUUGUCAGUUAACCAUUUUAAAGGUAGGGUUGUUGGUACCUUUGAAAGAUCAGUGGCUGUUGUGCCCUGUUUUUGUUCAACCUGAAUGGGGGUCAUUUGGAGCCCAGGUGCAUGUGGAGUUUGGGGCUUGUGGAGAUUGCUGUAGAGAGGCUGCAACAGGAAAAUCCCAGACUUGCUCACAGGGCUUGGGGAAGAAAGGGAAAAACCAGCCAUCGUCGAUGUGACUCUGGCAGGUGCUGGUGACUGCAAAGCCACAAGCAGCUGUUUCAUGAAUUUAUGCCCCAAAAUUUGUAUGCUAGAUGAAGCGUUAAUCUAAUCCACCUUUAUCAAUGAGAAAUUGGGAGUCAAAUAUUCAGGUAAGAACCUGAAAAAUCAGAGAACAGGGAGCAGCUGCCAGCUGAUUCCUAUCUCUUCCGUUCCUCCAUCCAAAAGGGCCAAGAUCCUCUCUCAGCCCCACCUUACCACUUCCUAACUCCUCUUUGUCUACAGACCUCUGAAUCGCUAUAGUGAGCUAGUGGCUAGCUCCACCCUCGGACUCCAAGAAAGCUUUAUUUGCCAGAACGCAAUCAAAAUAUCACACAAUAAAGUUCUAUUACUGCUUA